rnacentral:rRNA from 1 species
GAUGAACGCUGGCUACAGGCUUAACACAUGCAAGUCGAGGGGAAACGCCGGGGAAGCUUGCUUCCCCGGGCGUCGACCGGCGCACGGGUGAGUAACGCGUAUCCAACCUGCCUCUGACUGAGGGAUAACCCGUCGAAAGUCGGCCUAAUACCUCAUGGCAUCGUCUGCGGGCAUCCAACGACGAUUAAAGAUUUCAUCGGUCAGGGAUGGGGAUGCGUCUGAUUAGCUAGUUGGCGGGGUAACGGCCCACCAAGGCGACGAUCAGUAGGGGUUCUGAGAGGAAGGUCCCCCACAUUGGAACUGAGACACGGUCCAAACUCCUACGGGAGGCAGCAGUGAGGAAGAUUGGGCAAUGGGCGAGAGCCUGAACCAGCCAAGUAGCGUGCAGGAUGACGGCCCUAUGGGUUGUAAACUGCUUUUAUGCGGGGAUAAAGUGAGGGACGUGUCCUUCAUUGCAGGUACCGCAUGAAUAAGGACCGGCUAAUUCCGUG